UACGUAGGGUGCGAGCGUUGUCCGGAAUUAUUGGGCGUAAAGAGCUCGUAGGCGGUUUGUCACGUCUGCUGUGAAAUCCCGAGGCUCAACCUCGGGCCUGCAGUGGGUACGGGCAGACUAGAGUGAUGUAGGGGAGACUGGAAUUCCUGGUGUAGCGGUGAAAUGCGCAGAUAUCAGGAGGAACACCGAUGGCGAAGGCAGGUCUCUGGGCAUUAACUGACGCUGAGGAGCGAAAGCAUGGGGGGCGAACAGG
rnacentral:rRNA from 1 species